ensembl:ncRNA ZK836.19 ncRNA
GUGGUAAUUUGACCUCCCCUAGGAAUGAAUUGAGUUGAGAAGAAAAGUAGUGAAAAGAUUUUUGAGACGAGUGAUGGGCGUGAAACAGGGGAAAGAAUAGAAAAAUAGUGCAACACAUUUUUUUGAA